rnacentral:tRNA from 1 species
GGCUCGUUGGUCAAGCGGUCAAGACACCAGCCUCUCACGCUGGUAACGCGGGUUCGAUUCCCGCACGAGUCACCA